rnacentral:tRNA from 1 species
GGGCGUUUAGCGCAGUGGUAGCGCGUAUGCUUUGCAAGAGCAACAUCGUCUCGUACGACGCGGUUAUCGUGUGUAUAAGGUCCAGGGUUCAAUCCCCUGAACGUCCA